CCUCUGGUGUACCAGUUGUCGUGCCAACGGCAUAGCUGGGUAGCUAUGUGUGGACGGGAUAAGUGCUGAAAGCAUCUAAGCAUGAAGCCCCCCUCAAGAUGAGAUUUCCCAACUUCGGUUAUAAGAUCCCUCAAAGAUGAUGAGGUUAAUAGGUUCGAGGUGGAAGCAUGGUGACAUGUGGAGCUGACGAAUACUAAUCGAUCGAAGACUUAAUCAA
rnacentral:rRNA from 1 species